UACGUAGGGGGCAAGCGUUGUCCGGAAUCAUUGGGCGUAAAGCGCGUGUAGGCGGCUUCGUCAGUCCGUUGUGAAAGUCCAGGGCUCAACCCUGGAAUGCCGAUGGAUACUGCGGAGCUCGAGUCCGGAAGAGGCAAGUGGAAUUCCUGGUGUAGCGGUGAAAUGCGCAGAUAUCAGGAGGAACACCAAUGGCGAAGGCGAUCUGCUGGACAGCAACUGACGCUGAGGCGCGAAAGCGUGGGGAGCAAAC
rnacentral:rRNA from 1 species